CCGUGCCAGCAGCCGCGGUAAUACGGAGGAUGCAAGCGUUAUCCGGAUUCAUUGGUUUAAAGGGUGCGCAGGCGGAAUAUUAAGUCAGUGGUGAAAUCCUGCAGCUUAACUGUAGAACUGCCAUUGAUACUGAUAUUCUUGAAUAUAGUUGAGGUGGGCGGAAUGUGUAAUGUAGCGGUGAAAUGCUUAGAUAUUACACAGAACACCAAUUGCGAAGGCAGCUCACUAAACUAAUAUUGACGCUGAGGCACGAAAGCGUGGGUAGCAAACAGGAUUAGAUACCCUGGUAGUCCACGCUGUAAACUAUGAUCACUCGCUGUUGGCAAUACAUCGUCAGCGGCUGAGCGAAAGCAUUAAGUGAUCCACCUGGGGAGUACGGUCGCAAGAUUGAAACUCAAAGGAAUUGACGGGGGCCCGCACAAGCGGAGGAACAUGUGGUUUAAUUCGAUGAUACGCGAGGAACCUUACCUGGGCUUAAAUGCAGAGCGACGUCCGCCGAAAGGUGGAUUCCUUCGGGCGAUCUGCAAGGUGCUGCAUGGUUGUCGUCAGCUCGUGCCGUGAGGUGUCGGGUUAAGUCCCAUAACGAGCGCAACCCUUAUCGUUAGUUGCUAGCGGGUAAUGCCGGGGACUCUAACGAAACUGCCGGUGUAAACCGUGAGGAAGGUGGGGAUGACGUCAAAUCAGCACGGCCCUUAUGUCCAGGGCUACACACGUGUUACAAUGGUCGGUACAGAGGGCAGCUACCACGCGAGUGGAUGCUAAUCUCGAAAACCGGUCUCAGUUCGGAUUGAAGUCUGCAACUCGACUUCAUGAAGCUGGAUUCGCU
rnacentral:rRNA from 1 species